CACCUGACCCCAUGCCGAACUCAGAAGUGAAACGCCGUAGCGCCGAUGGUAGUGUGGGGCCUCCCCAUGCGAGAGUAGGGAACUGCCAGGC
rnacentral:rRNA from 2 species